rnacentral:rRNA from 1 species
GACGAACGCUGGCGGCGUGCCUAAUAAAUGCAAGUUGAGCGCUGAAGGUUGGUACUUGUACCAACUGGAUGAGCAGCGAACGGGUGAGUAACGCGUGGGGAAUCUGCCUUUGAGCGGGGGACAACAUUUGGAAACGAAUGCUAAUACCGCAUAAAAACUUUAAACACAAGUUUUAAGUUUGAAAGAUGCAAUUGCAUCACUCAAAGAUGAUCCCGCGUUGUAUUAGCUAGUUGGUGAGGUAAAGGCUCACCAAGGCGAUGAUACAUAGCCGACCUGAGAGGGUGGUCGGCCACAUUGGGACUGAGACACGGCCCAAACUCCUACGGGAGGCAGCAGUAGGGAAUCUUCGGCAAUGGACGAAAGUCUGACCGAGCAACGCCGCGUGAGUGAAGAAGGGUUUCGGAUCGUAAAACUCUGUUGGUAGAGAAGAACGUUGGUGAGAGUGGAAAGCUCAUCAAGUGACGGUAACUACCCAGAAAGGGACGGCUAACUACGUG